GUAGUAUCUGUUCUUAUCAGUUUA
rnacentral:piRNA from 2 species